ACUUCUUUUUUUUUUUUUUUUUCAAUUUUUUUACUUCUAAGAGAUGAAAGAUAAUACUGAAUCUUCUUCACAAAGGCUUAUGAUCUUCUCACAGAGUUUCGGGUCGGGUGGCCUGCUUACGCGAUUUCAAGGGGUUUGAAUUUAGUUUUGUCGUGCUACUGGCUACUGCUAUGCAUGUUUGAAUUAAACCCGAGUAAUUGAAUAGUAGAUAAUACAAUGUCUGUCACACCGACAUAGUGUAUAUAAAAAAUCUAGUGAGUAAAUGAAUUCACUAGAUUUUUUCUCCUCUAUUUUUCAAUAAAUAUGAAGUUUCGAAGUAGGGUGGAGUCUUGACAAUUAUAUUUUA